rnacentral:tRNA from 1 species
GUAGAUGUAGCUCAGUCGGUUAGAGCGUUGGAGUGUGGUUCCAGAGGUCGUCGGUUCGAGCCCGAUCUUCUACC